AAACCUAAGCUGCCCGCCGCUAUCUCCCCGCGGCCCUCCGCCAUGAGCUGACCGAUCGAGAGAAGUCCCCGUCUCUCCGUGACUUCCUGCCUGCAGGUGGGCGCGUGCUCAUUCUCAUCCUCUUUCUUUGAGAGGUCCGGGGUUAGCGCCGCGCGUUGCGCUGAAUGGAUGAACUCCUGAGUCCGAACUUGCAGUCCUUGUGGCCCUCAUAGCCGAUCGAUGCUUCAGCGCCUUCAGCUUCAUGUGAUUGUCGGUAUCGCCCUCGUUUGAGCUACGCAUCGUCGUGGACGGGGAUCUCGAGAGCAACACCAAGACACCGCCGAUGCAGGCGCCGAGGUCACGCCUGCUGCUCAGCUGCGGCGAGUCCAUACUGGCCGUGGCGGAGAGCGCGUACCGGCGCGUCGAGACAAUGAGCUGCCCUGUGGGGUGCCUGGCCAGGGGGUUCUCCCACGUGGCAGCCCCGGUCCUGCGCCCGCUGCGGCUGCGGCUGAGGUGCCUCUCGGCGCUCUCCUUCGUCGACCGGCAGCUCGUCGUCGCGCAGGACGUCGCCGCUGUGCUCCUCCCCCGCGCCGAGCGCGUGCUCAGGAAGGUCGACGACCUCGUCCUCCUCGUGGAGUCCCUGCCCGUGAGGUUCGACGGCGCAGUCGACGGCCUCGAGGCCCUGGUGGCCGGCGUGAGGAGCGGAGUCGCGGGGUUCGGGUUCGCUCCGGUGAAACAGUGCCGUGUCGACGAGGGCGGCGACGUGUUCAGGGACAUCCGGUGCGACGAGGAAGCGGGAGGCGCGGCGGACCAGGACGUGGAGAAGAUAUGCGAGGACGUGGCUCCGGAAGCGGGAAUCCUGGGGGUUGUCACGGUGGAUGACGGCAGCGGAGCGCGGGAUGGAGUAAGAACCAUCGGCGUCGCUUACGCGGAGAAGAUCACCGGGGAAACUCGGUGCAACGAGGAGAUGGCGCAUUCCGGCACGGGAGACGAUUAUUUCAGGCCGAGCAGCGAGGAGACUGGCCGUGAUGACGACGAUGCCGCGCAAGGCGCAGACAGGGAGGCAACGCAUCCUGAGGCAGCUAAGCAAGAGGUCGGCUCUGACGAGAGUGAAGGUGAGGGAGACCCGAUGAAAUUUGAGGCGUCAGGUGCCGAACAACGCGCCGAGGGGGUGAGAGUGAAACAGGACGGGCGCUCCCGCUCCAUGGAGGUUGUCGAGGCACACGCGGCAGAAAUCAUGCAGGCCAUGCAGAGCAGGGAGACAGAGAAGGCUGAAAGCCAACAGGCUGCCUCUCCAGAGGCGGGAACCAGUGAGACGGGAGAAACCAGCGGCAAGGAGAGCAGCAACAAGGACGGCAACCUGUUGGAUCUGUUUGAUGAAGCAUGGCAGCACAAGCUAGCCUAAGAACAUUGCUACAGGGCAUGAGCCUCAACAAGGUAAUUACUGGUGAUUGGUGAAUAUGUAGUUGUGUUGGUAUACUAGUGUUCAGGAUCGUACCUCAGGUAUAUUGUGUGACAUACAGAAGAAGUAUACGGAAAAAUGGGUCCCGCAAGAUUCAGAUAUGGGUCGAUGACAUUCGCUGCUCUUCUUGGUACAUCAGAACAUGAGCAAAUAGAAGAACAUGGUAUUCUGGCAUCAAUUUUCUGGACUCCAUCUCUUCCUGUAAUCUUUAGUCGAAGUGUACGAGACCACAUUCCAGUUGAUGGUCCUCUGCCGCCGCUGGAACCAACAUCAUAGAGCUGAGGCAAUAUGUCAAUAACAGGUUCUUGUGGUUUUUCAGUCGUGGACCUGGUAUCUCCUGGACUGCUUGGUUCACUUGUGUAAUCAUGAUAACCUAUAUUGAGUCGCUGCAGGUUAAACAAAUUCAUUCAUAUAUAAUGUAGAAUAAGUGUGCUGGUCAAUACCGGUCCUGUACGAUGAUUGGGCUGAUGUCACAACAUAUCGUUUUUCUUCUUCAUAAUAGUGGUUAAACCCGAGUGUA